GCCUCUUGAUUAAACCAUAAGAGGUCCAGCCUGCCCAGUGACAUUGUUCAACGGCCGCGGUAUCCUAACCGUGCGAAGGUAGCGUAAUCACUUGUCCUUUAAAUGAAGACUAGUAUGAAUGGCCCCACGAAAGCUAUACUGUCUCCUUUUUCUAAUCAGUUAAACUAAUCUCCCCGUGAAGAAGCGGGGAUAAACAUAUAAGACGAGAAGACCCUAUGGAGCUUCAAACAACUGAAACACUUGUAUAUCCUCCCCUCACCUGCCAACAUUUAACCUCACAUUUUGUUUCUAGUUUUAGGUUGGGGUGACCACGGAGAAAAAACUAACCUCCACGACGAAAGAGACAUCUCUAAACAAAAAGCCACAUCUUUAUGUAUUAACACAUUAACCUUUAUUGACCCAAUAAAUUGAUCAACGAACCAAG
rnacentral:rRNA from 2 species